rnacentral:rRNA from 1 species
CCUACGGGAGGCAGCAGUAAGGAAUAUUGGUCAAUGGACGCAAGUCUGAACCAGCCAUGCCGCGUGAAGGAUGAAGGCCCUCUGGGUUGUAAACUUCUUUUACAGGGGACGAAAAAGGGAAUUUUUUCUCACUUGACGGUACCCUGGGAAUAAGCACCGGCUAACUCCGUGCCAGCAGCCGCGGUAAUACGGAGGGUGCAAGCGUUAUCCGGGAUUCACUGGGUUUAAACGGGUGCGUAGGUGGGCAUUUAAGUCAGUGGUGAAAUCUCCGGGCUUAACCCGGAAACUGCCAUUGAUACUAUUUGUCUUGAAUAUUGUGGAGGUAAGCGGAAUAUGUCAUGUAGCGGUGAAAUGCUUAGAUAUGACAUAGAACACCCAUUGCGAAGGCAGCUUACUACGCAAAUAUUGACACUGAGGCACGAAAGCGUUGGGGAUCAAACAGGAUUAGAUACCCUGGUAGUCCACGCCUAAACG